rnacentral:rRNA from 1 species
GAGCUUGCUCCUCCGGAUUAGUGGCGAACGGGUGAGUAACACGUGAGCAAUCUGCCCUUGACUCUGGGAUAAGCGCUGGAAACGGCGUCUAAUACCGGAUACGACCCGCGGAGGCAUCUCCUGCGGGUGGAAAGAACUUCGGUCAAGGAUGAGCUCGCGGCCUAUCAGCUUGUUGGUGAGGUAAUGGCUCACCAAGGCGACGACGGGUAGCCGGCCUGAGAGGGUGACCGGCCACACUGGGACUGAGACACGGCCCAGACUCCUACGGGAGGCAGCAGUGGGGAAUAUUGCACAAUGGGCGCAAGCCUGAUGCAGCAACGCCGCGUGAGGGACGACGGCCUUCGGGUUGUAAACCUCUUUUAGCAGGGAAGAAGCGAGAGUGACGGUACCUGCAGAAAAAGCACCGGCUAACUACGUGCCAGCAGCCGCGGUAAUACGUAGGGUGCAAGCGUUGUCCGGAAUUAUUGGGCGUAAAGAGCUCGUAGGCGGUCUGUCGCGUCUGCUGUGAAAACCCGAGGCUCAACCUCGGGCUUGCAGUGGGUACGGGCAGACUAGAGUGCGGUAGGGGAGAUUGGAAUUCCUGGUGUAGCGGUGGAAUGCGCAGAUAUCAGGAGGAACACCGAUGGCGAAGGCAGAUCUCUGGGCCGUAACUGACGCUGAGGAGCGAAAGCGUGGGGAGCAAACAGGCUUAGAUACCCUGGUA